CGACGUAUUUUUAGUCUCUCUUCCACUACAUGCAUGCACCUAGCUUUGUGAAGGGCAUAAUUUGUCACGUGGAUAAGAAAUGGUACUACUGAAUAUUCAAGAGGACAAUUUUCCAAUGUACAACCCACCAGCUAUCUCUCCUGUUCAAAAAAUUUGCAUGCUUUGCUUGGAUUUGGUUUCCUCCAAACUCUUAUGAAGGUUAUUACAUUGAAUGAUAAUGCUAUCUUAUUGACAAGCCGAGUACAUGGAUAUGAUAUUCACGAGGACGAGAAGUAGGUUUAUAUAGGGACGGAGGGGGAGGGG
rnacentral:lncRNA from 1 species